rnacentral:rRNA from 1 species
GAGACAGCAGUAGCCGCGGGAAUACAGAGGGUGCAAGCGUUAAUCGGAAUUACUGGGCGUAAAGCGCGCGUAGGUGGUUUGUUAAGUUGGAUGUGAAAUCCCCGGGCUCAACCUGGGAACUGCAUCCAAAACUGGCAAGCUAGAGUAUGGUAGAGGGUGGUGGAAUUUCCUGUGUAGCGGUGAAAUGCGUAGAUAUAGGAAGGAACACCAGUGGCGAAAGCGGCUCACUGGACCAUAACUGACGCUGAUGCACGAAAGCUAGGGGAGCAAACAGGAUUAGAUACCCGCGUAGUCCCUGUCUCUUAUAC